UUUAUUUAAAUAUUAGGUUUUUGACGACCUCCCUGGCGAAGUGGUAAACGCUGUGGUCUUCUUAGUUGGAGGUCCCGGGGUCGAUUUCCGGCAGGGUUUGGAAUUUUAUAAUUUCUAAAUCACUUCUGGCCUGGUCUGGU